rnacentral:rRNA from 1 species
UGGUGGGUAGUUUGACUGGGGCGGUCUCCUCCUAAAGAGUAACGGAGGAGCACGAAGGUUGGCUAAUCCUGGUCGGACAUCAGGAGGUUAGUGCAAUGGCAUAAGCCAGCUUGACUGCGAGCGUGACGGCGCGAGCAGGUGCGAAAGCAGGUCAUAGUGAUCCGGUGGUUCUGAAUGGAAGGGCCAUCGCUCAACGGAUAAAAGGUACUCCGGGGAUAACAGGCUGAUACCGCCCAAGAGUUCAUAUCGACGGCGGUGUUUGGCACCUCGAUGUCGGCUCAUCACAUCCUGGGGCUGAAGUAGGUCCCAAGGGUAUGGCUGUUCGCCAUUUAAAGUGGUACGCGAGCUGGGUUUAGAACGUCGUGAGACAGUUCGGUCCCUAUCUGCCGUGGGCGCUGGAGAAUUGAGGGGGGCUGCUCCUAGUACGAGAGGACCGGAGUGGACGCAUCACUGGUGUUCGGGUUGUCAUGCCAAUGGCACUGCCCGGUAGCUAAAUGCGGAAGAGAUAAGUGCUGA